CCUUCGGGGACUAGGACACAGGUGCUGCAUGGCUGUCGUCAGCUCGUGUUGUGAAAUGUUGGGUUAAGUCCCGCAACGAGCGCAACCCUUAUCCUUUGUUGCCAGCGGUUCGGCCGGGAACUCAAAGGAGACUGCCAGUGAUAAACUGGAGGAAGGUGGGGAUGACGUCAAGUCAUCAUGGCCCUUACGAGUAGGGCUACACACGUGCUACAAUGGCAUAUACAAAGAGAAGCGACCUCGCGAGAGCAAGCGGACCUCAUAAAGUAUGUCGUAGUCCGGAUUGGAGUCUGCAACUCGACUCCAUGAAGUCGGAAUCGCUAGUAAUCGUAGAUCAGAAUGCUACGGUGAAUACGUUCCCGGGCCUUGUACACACCGCCCGUCACACCAUGGGAGUGGGUUGCAAAAGAAGUAGGUAGCUUAACCUUCGGGAGGGCGCUUACCACUUUGUGAUUCAUGACUGGGGUGAAGUCGUAACAAGGUAACCGUAGGGGAACCUGCGGCUGGAUCACCUCCUUAAG
rnacentral:rRNA from 1 species